AAGUCGUAACAAGGUUUCCGUAGGUGAACCUGCGGAAGGAUCAUUACAGUAUUCUUUUGCCAGCGCUUAACUGCGCGGCGAAAAACCUUACACACAGUGUCUUUUUGAUACAGAACUCUUGCUUUGGUUUGGCCUAGAAAUAGGUUGGGCCAGAGGUUUAACAAAACACAAUUUAAUUAUUUUUAUUGAUAGUCAAAUUUUGAAUUAAUCUUCAAAACUUUCAACAACGGAUCUCUUGGUUCUC
rnacentral:misc_RNA from 1 species